rnacentral:rRNA from 1 species
GAUGAACGCUGGCGGCGUGCUUAAUACAUGCAAGUCGAACGAAGAAUUAGAUAAGCUUGCUUAGAUAAUUCUUAGUGGCGAACGGGUGAGUAAUACGUAAGCAACCUGCCUGUUUGAAUGGGAUAACUGUGGGAAACUGCAGCUAAUACCAUAUAGCUUAUAAGCUGGCAUCAGCUUAUAACUAAAGACGCGUUUGCGUCGCAAACAGAUGGGCUUACGGUGUAUUAGCUAGUUGGUGAGGUAACUGCUCACCAAGGCGAUGAUACAUAGCCGGCCUGAGAGGGUGAACGGGCCACAUUGGGACUGAGACACGGCCCAGACUCCUACGGGAGGCAGCAGUAAGGAAUUUUUCGGCAACGGGGGAACCCUGACCGAGCAAC